GGCGGAUGCAGCCAAGUGGAUUAAGGCAGUGGAUUGUAAAUGCACCACGUAUGGGUUCAAUUCUUAUAAUUUGCC
rnacentral:tRNA from 1 species